CCGGCCCCUCACUACUCGCGCGCUGCCGACGCCGGACCCCCGCCCCUCACUACCCGCGCAGCCAGCGCCAGACCCCUGCCUCUCCCUACCCGCGCGCUACCGCCACCUUCCUCUGCGACGCCGCCACGUCCUCGUCGUCCUCCAUUGCCCAUCCAGCCUCCUCCUUCCGCAUCGCCGUCAACCUCUCCAUCUUGCCACCACAACCUCCCCCUCCCCCUGGCGCACCGCGGGGACCUCCCCUUCAUCCAGCGCGCGGCUAUGUCAACUUGCUCGAGCUCCACCGCCCGCCUCCCGAGCACCAUCAGUCAGCUACCACCGAACUGACGCCCCCUUCUCCCAGGAAUCACCGCCGUCGGGACUUGCUUCCUGCGCCCCGCCACCUCCCAGGGACCCAACGCGCUGCCGCUCCUCUGAUUCUUCUCCCCGGCUCUGCUUGCAAUUCUUCCGCCGACACCAAUGGCCUGCCCUUUCUCUCUCCCUUUGGUUCGAGAAGCAGCAACUGCUGGGCCUGCAGUGCCGCCAUCUGAAGACAGGGGAGAUGGCCAUAAUUCCCUUAUGGUAAUUAUGCAGGUGCAGAACCUUCUGAGCGCAUGACAGCCUCGUCCGUCCAAGUUGAGCACUGGGCGCCGUACGAGUAGAGCACCGCGCCUCGUCCAAGUUCCCAUCUAAUGUUGAAUAAUAUACCGCUGAGUGCUAUUGACGGAAUUGAGGCUUCGCCAAGGAACAAGACUGGUAACUAGCGCAAAGGAGACUAUGUCGAGAGGUGGCACUGCUAGACUUGCUGAUGUGUAGUUAUGGCAUAAAAAGAUGAAAACAAUGGUAUCUUGUAUGAUUCCAUAAGGUGCACGUAGAAAAUCUUCCCAUGUGGAUCUGUACAAAUUGUAAAUGGAUCAGCCCAUAACAUGCAAAUCUUCCCAUGUCGA